rnacentral:rRNA from 1 species
UACAGAGGUCUCAAGCGUUGUUCGGAUUCAUUGGGCGUAAAGGGUGCGUAGGCGGCGCGGUAAGUCGGGGUGUGAAAUCUUGGAGCUUAACUCCGAAAACUGCAUUCGAUACUGCCGUGCUUGAGGACUGGAGAGGAGACUGGAAUUUACGGUGUAGCGGUGAAAAUGCGUAGAUAUCGUAAGGAAGACCAGUGGCGAAGGCGGGUCUCUGGACAGUUCCUGACGCUGAGGCAACGAAGGCCCAGGGGGAGCAAAACGGGG